rnacentral:lncRNA from 1 species
UAUAUAUUUAAUUCAUGUCUCAUCUUUAGUUCAAUUUGGCCAAAAAAUAGAGAAAAACAAAUUGAAUGGCACAACUUUAAUUGUAAAACUGUACUAGCUUGUUAAAAGCAUUACAGUAUUGUUCCAAUCAAACAACACAAGGCCAGAGUUGUGAUAGACAGAUAAUAGAAUAGUACAAAUAUAUCAAAUGCAUACUAUUUACAUUAUUCAUUAUGGUAAUAAUAAUAUAUCAUAAUUGAUAUCUAUUUUAGAGUGUAAUGCAGAACUAUAUUUAAAUAUAAUGCAGACAUUUUUGGGAUUAACAGCUGACUGAGUCACUGCAGUUACAAAAAAUUCUAUUCACAUUUUAUUUAAGGUGGAACCCAACACCUUCACUUAAAUUAAUUUGGCUCGUUUAAUUUUCAUAAAAUUUUGACAAAGUAUUUACUGUGACCAUUUGACAAAAGCAUAAAAAUCAAAUUGAACCAACCAUUUUUUUUAGAAAAAUUACACUGAUUAUAUAGCAGUUUGACAAACACUCAUUUUGUUCAUUGAGAAGCUUAAUUUUCCCUUAACAACACAACGUAAUUAAAACAUUUAGCUGAUUUUAAAGAGUUAUCUCCCUGUAGUGUUAGGUACCACCUUAAUAUGUAGAGAAGAUUUUACUGUAAUUAGAAAAUAAAUGCAACAAAAAGUGAUUGAGUUCAGUUUUCAUUAACAACACACUGUUAUUCCAAUUAUGCAUUCCAAUAGUAGAAAUUAAACUGAGAUUCAUCAAUUUUUCAUGAUUUGUAUUUAUAUCAAAUAAAUAAAUCAAUGCAUUUUAUUCUUUCAAAAUUUCUAUCAAUCUUUAUUUUAAUCAUUUCAUUAUUCUUGAAAAUAAAAUAUACUUAAACAGAAGUAUUAUGUUACUUAUAAACUAUUGACAACCUACUUGCAAUAAGUUUCCUUUGUUAAUAUCAUCGUUAAUUUAAGGCUACACCAAAUAUAUAUCUUUUCCAACUUUUUUUUAAAUAAAUUUUUGGAAGGCAUUUAUUUGAGUGUACUUGCAAUUUACUCAAGCUUUCAAUUGUCAUUUAAAAUAUAAAUUUCCAAUAAAUGAUGAACAACAAUCUUUCACAACAAAUAGUCCUUAAUUACAUAUGUAUCAAUCACUGCAACAAAAUGUCUUGUUUACAUACUCAAUAAAUAUGGCAGUAAUGUUAACAACAAUUAUAUCUUUAAAUGUUUUUUUUAUGCAAAAAAGAAUCACAUUUCUUAUGCUGAAUAUCGUUAACCAUAACUUAACUUCAGGGUUUGAAACAAUCUAAUCAAAAUACAGAUUGUGUGUUAAUGCUUUCCUUAAAAGGAUUUGACAAAACUCUUGUCUAUUGUCUGUUCUGGUAAGUAUUACAACUGCCAAUGAAAUUCCUGUCUACAUAAUUUUGAAGGUGUGUAACAUUACAACAAAAUUGGUCAAAAAGGUUUUAAAUAGAAAGCUGAACAGAAAGUUUUCAGAUUAUCAUGAGCCACAUGAUCUCUAAUUUAAUCAGAUUGAGUUUGAAAUUUGUAAAAAACAAAAAUACAACCUUUAUCAUAUUCUAUUUUUAACAUACCAAAUUUUCUCCUGUUUCAAUUUCAUACAAUAGUAAAAUAUUAAAAAUUGUAAAAAAUUCAAGUGAAAUGCACAUUUCAUUUACCAAACAUUUUGAAGCAAUAUUUCUACAUAUACAAUAAGGUGAUGUGGUAUGAUUGCCAAUGAAACAACCAUCCAACAAAAUCCUAAUAAUAUGAAUGACCCAGUCCCAUAGAGUGAUAAACAACUUUAUCAAACAACUCCAGCCCUUAUAUCACAACCAUAUUGGAUACAACAAAUUCUUUCAAAAUUACAAUAAAUAUUUUAUAUACAAAUCUAACUAGAAACUCAACUUUGAUUGACUUAUAGCACAAAGUACAGAAAACUGAUAAAAAAACUUAUUGGAAUGUGUUAUUUAGCUUAGUAAUUUUACAAUAUCUUACAUUUACCCAUAAAUUCUCUACACAAAUGAUUACUAAAAAUUCAGAAAUUAUCAUAAGGUUUCUAUUAGUGCAUUUAAUAAGAACAUUUAUUCAUAUAUCUGAUACAUAUACCAUUUUGCAGAUUUCCUCGAAAUCACAAUAAUCAAUUUCACAUUUUGGGUGAUUCUUUAAAAUAUCAAAAUAAUAAAAGCUAGCAAUAAUUUCUGAAUUUACAGUAUUCUAAUAUCAGGGAUCUUCGUUGCAAAAAAUGUACUAUAAUCUUAAAUGACCAGCAAAUCUUUAAUUCGUGUAAAUAUUAUCGCUUUGUUCUCUUAUGAUUCUCGUCAUUAAAAUAAGAAAUUUACUCUCUCAAAAAUUAUUGUAUCUUCUACAGUAUCAUCUUUAUUAAUACUUUAAAAGUAUUGUUUGUUUUUUUCCAUUUUUUGGCAUUUCUGAUUUAUAAUUGAAAACAGAUUCCAAAAACUUUGACCAUGAGUUCUGGAGUAAAUGGCAGAAUCAGUUCUAUAUAUAAGGUGUAUAAUUGUACAAAAUACUGGAAUGCACAUCGUGGCAAGGAUCUUAAAAUGAUGAAAAUAGCAAAAAAAACAAAUAUGGAAUACAAAAAUAUUGGAAUGUGAAAAUCAAAAACUAUUGAUGGUCAUGCAUGAACACAUCUUAUCUAUAGUUUAUUUUUAAAAUGCAAUAUCAAGUAGAAAAAUAUUAUGAAUGAAAUAAUACAUCAUUACUAGUGCUCAAAUAGUGCUGUAUACUAAUUUUACUUUUUUAAAAGUAAUCUUAUUUGUAGAUUGAAAUUGUGUGUGCUUUACUGACAAAGUGAUUUUUUUAAUAUAAUUUGUGAGUUUCAAUUGUAUUCUAAAAGCUUACAAAGACUUUGACAUUCAGUGAAAAAUUAUGAAAUAAUGAAAUGCUAACAAAAAUACAUGUAUGGAGGUCAGAUUUUUUUUAAAAAUACUUAUUUAAAAAAUUUAAGUGAU